UACGAAGGGGGCUAGCGUUGCUCGGAAUCACUGGGCGUAAAGGGUGCGUAGGCGGGUCUUUAAGUCAGGGGUGAAAUCCUGGAGCUCAACUCCAGAACUGCCUUUGAUACUGAAGAUCUUGAGUUCGGGAGAGGUGAGUGGAACUGCGAGUGUAGAGGUGAAAUUCGUAGAUAUUCGCAAGAACACCAGUGGCGAAGGCGGCUCACUGGCCCGAUACUGACGCUGAGGCACGAAAGCGUGGGGAGCAAACAGGGAUUAAGCAA
rnacentral:rRNA from 1 species